rnacentral:rRNA from 1 species
AUUGAACGCUGGCGGCAUGCUUUACACAUGCAAGUCGAGCGGCAGCGCGGGGGCAACCCUGGCGGCGAGCGGCGAACGGGUGAGUAAUGCAUCGGAACGUAUCCUCGAGUGGGGGAUAACCCAGCGAAAGUUGGGCUAAUACCGCAUGAGCUCUGAGGAGGAAAGCGGGGGACCUGCGAGGGCCUCGCGCUGGAGGAGCGGCCGAUGUCCGAUUAGCUAGUUGGUGGGGUAAGGGCUUACCAAGGCGACGAUCGGUAGCUGGUCUGAGAGGAUGAUCAGCCACACUGGGACUGAGACACGGCCCAGACUCCUACGGGAGGCAGCAGUGGGGAAUUUUGGACAAUGGGGGCAACCCUGAUCCAGCCAUGCCGCGUGAGUGAAGAAGGCCUUCGGGUUGUAAAGCUCUUUCGGACGGAACGAAAUGGGCGGGACUAAUACUCCUGUCUGAUGACGGUACCGUAAGAAGAAGCACCGGCUAACUACGUG